GGGGGGAGCAAGCGUUGUUCGGAUUUACUGGGCGUAAAGGGCGGGUAGGCGGCCACUGCAAGUCGGUUGUGAAAUCUCCGGGCUUAACCCGGAAAGGUCAACCGAUACUGCAGGGCUAGAGUGCAGAAGGGGCAACUGGAAUUCUCGGUGUAGCGGUGAAAUGCGUAGAUAUCGAGAGGAACACCUGCGGCGAAGGCGGGUUGCUGGGCUGACACUGACGCUGAACUGCGAAAGCUAGGGGAGCGAACGGGAUUAGAUACCCCGGUAGUCCUAGCCUUAAACGAUGAAUGCUUGGUGUCUGGGGUUUUAUAGUCCCCGGGUGCCGUCGCUAACGCUUUAAGCAUUCCGCCUGGGGAGUACGGUCGCAAGACUGAA
rnacentral:rRNA from 1 species